GAAGGAGAUACUCUGGUUGUCUCUCUUAUCGACUCUUCCUGUUAUCAUUGACUCUCUUACUGAGUGCUUGGGCUACGGUAUGGUAAUGCCCCCUGCAGGAAGUGGUGCGCCUCACAGCCGAGGCGGCCGAGGAUCAGAGCAAAGCCGCGCUAUUCUAAAGGGUCAGGCUGAUAUAGAUGAUGGGUUCGUGCCGUCAAAACUCUGGUAGUGUAGUGGUGAUCGCGGAGACACGGUCUCUGUGUUGGUGGGAUUCAGCCGACUGAGUGCAAAGAAAGGCGCUCGGGUUCGCUGGGAGAAGAAAAGGAACGCCAGCCUGAGUGAGGGUCAUUGUCGGGACACAGAGGUCCAGGCACAAGGCUAUAGAGUACCGCCCGCUGUGGUGUCGUCGUCCGCCCCCCCCCCCCAAACUCUGCUUGGCGUGUUCCUUGCUCUGUGAUUAUUUGCGGAAGGAAUGGAUAUGCACACAGUCCCUGCGGUUAUCUAAACAGGUUUGAGGCAGCAAGGAAGAGAGAGGAACGGAUCUAAGGCCCAUUGCCUGUCUACUCCUUGGCAGAAUGAGCUACAAGAGACGUGGGUGGUGGCAUUCCACUCGCCAGGUCCUGGGUUGGAAAGACGGAGGCAAAGUGACAAGCACCAGUCAGCAUUCCUGCCUGGAGAUAUGGUAUGACGAUCAUCACUCCAAGUUCCCAGCACCACGACUGCCUCUCCAUGAUACUGCACCCUGGAGCCAGGAGCCACAAUACGCCCUCCCUUAAGUUGCCUUUUUCAGGUAUUUCAUCCCACAGAAAGUAACUAAUACAUGCCUACUCCUUCACCUACAGCAGCAGUGAGUCCUGUGAGCCUCCUGUUAGGAAAAGCCAAUUCCUGCUUUGUUGGAAACUUGAUAUGAGAGCCGUAUUUGAAGAUGGGCUGUGGGGAGUGUUGUCCUCUGACCCCUCUUUAUAUCAUAUUUAUGACUCAAAGACUAACCAUGUCCCCAUAGCCUUUAUUUUCUAUAGAAUCACAAUUGUGUAAGUGUAUCCUCAGGAGAUCACAUCACUCAGCCCUGUAGUUUCCCCGACUCUCCUGUGACCAGUAACUUCUCGAAGGCACAGAGCUGGGGAUGGAGGACUCUGCUUUGAGUGUGGCCACAUCUCUUGUGCUGCAGAUGCUCUGUGGGACGACAUCUGGCUCAGGCUCAGUUCAGCCUGGUGCAGUGUCCGUAUGUGAAGGAACACUGACACCCAAGGAUGCCUCCACCACUGCACUGGGAGUCAAGAUCUCAGCACCUACUCACAGCCAUUAUCUUCCCUUCAUGAAGUUGUCGUCAAUUUCCCUGCUCAUUCAUGGCAGCCAGCAUGUCCUUGUGGAUGCCCAAGCCUGCUGGCUUUCUCUUUCCUCCCCAGGGAGCUUAUUAUCAUAUGUAAACAUGGGCGGGUCCCUGGGGGCUCUCUGGAAAGACGUUCAGCCCCCAGGUUAGCUGCAGCACCACCUGGGACGGCUCUGCUGCACGCAAAGACCAAGGCCUGUCUGUGUGCACUGGGGGAUGGGCUCUGGGUCUGGGAUAUGGCUGCAGAGUCUGCUCGGGAGUGGAAAGCCGCAUGCUGAUCCCUGCCUGCAGCUCCUGACAGACACACUUGGUCCAUUUUGUGCAUAUCUCCUUGAUUUCCUUUUUGUGUCCAUCGUAGAAAAGAGUGAUUAAAAAUGAAAGAAAAGA